CAGCGGCUCUUGAAGAGAAAGCAACACUUUGGCUCCUCAGGGGCCAGAGCUACGACUUCUUGGAUGACACCAUCUCUGACUCUCCAUUUCCAGAUCUGUGAAAUGAGGACCCAUCUUCCAAAAAUGCUGUGAGGAUUGUUGAAGAACUAUGGAAAGCCAGCAGGGUGGCACAUGUCCUUGGGCAAUGAGUUCCAGGCCAGCCUGGUUUACAGAGUGACUUCCUGGACAGACAGCACUACACAGGGACUUCCUGUCUCAAGCAAGCAAACAAACAAACAAAUACAAAAGAUAUGGAAUAAAGGAUAAUAUGACUUAGAUUCUGUCGGGAAUCAGGAUCCCUCAAGCACAGCCCGGAGGCAUUCCAGGGAGAAUGCAGUCAGAGUCUCAUCACCCAUGCAAGUCAGGUGGAAGCUGGAUGUCAGCUCACUGCCCUCCUGCAGUCCCGGCUGGCCCAACCACGUAUGGUAUGCCGGAUACCACACAGCAAGCUCCCAGUCCGACCUCCUAUGAUUGAGGGCAGAAGCCACGAGUGCCUAACGCCGUCAGCCCAGAGCCUUUGUACAUUUUAUGGGUCACCCAAGAGCACACUUUGUACCACAGAGUCACAAAUGUUUGCUGAAUGAAUGGCUGGCUGCUGGACACCCUUGUCAAGGGUGACCUCUUCUGCUGUCAGGCUGCCCCCAGCCUGGGAAAACUCUGCCUCAUGCAAGGACCCUAUCGUGCAGAGUGUGCCCUCCUGGCCCUUGUUACUAGUUGCCUUGUCCCAUGCUGACUGCCUCUGCACUUGAAGAGGGAGGAUCAGAAGAGGUAAGAUGUGUGAAUACCCCAGGAAAUGGAGAAGUUAUUUUAUCUGAAUCCAGCCAUCACUCAGCGAGGCCUCCUGAAGUGAAACCGCUGUGCCAAGCUGCCAGGGGAUACAGAUGGGAAUCUCUGUCUGCUUCGAGGGAGCCAUGGUACACAGGGGAACAAACUCAUUAAGACUAAUUGGAGAGGCGGGAACCCCAUGCCUGAGAAAGAGAAAUGAUGGUCUGUUCUCUUCAAAAAGGAAGCAGCCCUGCGUUAUGUAAAAGCCAGAAUGUAGGCUAGGUCCCAAACACUCGCUGUCCAACUGCUGGCGAGUUGGGCGGAGGUGUUUGAUUCUCUUACCCUUCCUAUAGGGCCAGCGUAAGCUCUGGGAUGAAGCUCAGCAGUGGCAGCACAGGAAAGCUUCGCCACCUGCUUUCCCUGACUCUCCUGAGAAGGGACAGAACUAAGCAGGAGGGUCCCGGGCAGGCAGAGAGUGGCUGCUCCCCUGAACAGCAAGGACUCCUUUGAACCUGGCCGGCAUUAUUUACAUACUAUUCACGAUGUGCUAAAUAUCCUUAAAUUGUUUGUUUUCAGAAGCAAGUUCAACACUGGCUCCUGUAAUUGUUUACACUAUUAAUUCACUCAGCCAACCAUGUCUUCAUGGAGAGAACGGAGAUAAGCAUGCUGAAUUGCUAUACAAUCCAGCAAGCGGAAAGGAUGGUGUAGGAGUGGGGAGAGAAGCAGGCUACCCUGGACUCUAGUUAGAUUCCCUUGGAGCCUUACUUCAGACCUGAGUACUACCCAAAAAGGACCUACCUGAAAACAGAAAGACUCACUCCUAAGGUCACAGCAUGUAAUAGAUA